GACGAACGCUGGCGGCGUGCUUAACACAUGCAAGUCGAACGGAAAGGCCUCUUUCGGGGGGUACUCGAGUGGCGAACGGGUGAGUAACACGUGAGUAACCUGCCCUUGACUUUGGGAUAACUUCAGGAAACUGGGGCUAAUACCGGAUAGGAGCUCCUGCUGCAUGGUGGGGGUUGGAAAGUUUCGGCGGUUGGGGAUGGACUCGCGGCUUAUCAGCUUGUUGGUGGGGUAGUGGCUUACCAAGGCUUUGACGGGUAGCCGGCCUGAGAGGGUGACCGGCCAAAUUGGGACUGAGAUACGGCCCAGACUCCUACGGGAGGCAGUAGUGGGGAAUAUUGCACAAUGGGUGGAAGCCUGAUGCAGCAACGCCGUGUGCGGGAUGACGGCCUUCGGGUUGUAAACCGCUUUCGCUCAUGACGAAGCUUUGUGUGACGGUAGUGGGUAAAGAAGCACCGGCUAACUACGUG
rnacentral:rRNA from 1 species